rnacentral:RNase_MRP_RNA from 2 species
CGCGUCGGCGAAGAACCGCUAUCGCAGCUCACGCACAGAAAUCGGCCGCGCGCCGUCUCGCACUCAGCUGCGGGGAAAGUCCCCGGAGGACGGCCGAGCGCGCGCAUGCGGUCCCGAGUCCGCGGCAGACCCCCGCCUCUAAGCUCGGCGGGCCCGGACGCUCCACAUCGGGAUGGGCGGGCGCGCUUUGCUCCCUCCUGUCGUCUACCCCCCUCCGUGGGCGGGCGGGCGCGGGAGGAGCUCGCCCCAGGGCCCCGCUCGGCCGACUCGUCGUGCCCGCAACGGACGCGCUCACCCCAAAGGCGGCGGGGACGCGAAGACACGAGCGUCCCUGUUCUGCUGGGCGUGUUUCCUCGCGGGCGGAGCCACGGUUACUCAUAGACACAGUUAUGCGGUUGCGCCGCCAAAGGCGUAAACACAAUGGGGCUUACUCUCGCCCGACGC